GGCCCCAUAGUCAAGAGGCCUAAGACGCUGCCCUCUCAAGGCGGAAACACGGGUUCGAAUCCCGUUGGGGCUACCA
rnacentral:tRNA from 1 species